AUCAUUGUCGAACCUUGCUGGUAGGCUGAUUUGAACUUGUAGAUGAACAGAACAAUAGUGUUGGAUCUUGUUGCGAAGAUUCAGCCUCAUAAAAAAAAACCGGCACAAUUAGUGCCAAGGAUAUGGUAUUGAGCAUGUCGGCUUGCAAUGUUUUUUGGAGCACGUGCGGGAUGUGUGUUUAAUAGGAAUGACUCUUGGCAAUGGAUAUCUUGGCUCUUGCAUCGAUGAAGAACGUAGCGAAAUGCGAUACUUGGUGUGAAUUGCAGAAUCCCGUGAACCAUCGAAUCUUUGAACGCAAGUUGCGCCGGAAGCCAACCUGGUCGACGGCUCGUUUGCUUGGGAGUCAAAUGUUUCGUCAUUCCUAAUCCUUUUGGUGAGGGACUGGAUCAUGGCCUCCCAGGCUAAGGUUUUGGCGUGGUUGGUUGAAAUUCUUGUCCUUGGAGAUCAAUGAUUUCUCUGUAUGUGGUGGUUUGUGCCUAGUGUGCGAAGGACAUGCGGUGAAAGCGUCGGUUGCGCAAGUUAGACCCUCUGGGGGUGACAUAGUUUGCUCUGUGAUUGGGGCCCCAAGUCA
rnacentral:rRNA from 1 species